UUUGACACCCUACAAAUCAUUUUCAGUUGUAUCUGCCAGUCACAAAUGAAUUAUAUGUGGACAGAACGGGCAUAAGUGUUUUUGAUCACUAUGUCCAAAUUAUAAUGACUGGGCAAUUCAGAGAAUUUGAUUAUGGAACUGUAAAAAAUAUUCGUGUAUAUGGACAAAUCAUUCCUCCCAGUUACCAACUUUCAAAUAUUAAAGUACCAAUAGCUCUGUUCGUUGGAAAAAAUGACUUGCUAGCAUCUCCUGGGGAUGCCACUGUUCUCUCCGUCCGGUUAGGGUCUUCUCUUUGUGGAUUGACUUUUAUAUCUUAUCCAAUAUGGAACCACAUUGAUUUUUUAACAGCCAAAGAUAUGAACCUAUAUUUGAAUACUCCAGUCCUUGCUAAAGUUGCGCAAAUGGAACAAGGACUUUGCUAGAGUCAAGAAUUGAUAUUUAUGGUACUCUUGUGAGAAACUAUGGAUUCUUCCUCAUACAAUAACUAUAGUCGUUUCAAUAAGUCAUGUGUCGAUAGUGAGUUUUUGAUUUGGCGUUUUGAUAUAUCACCUUUAUUUGUUUAUUAAUAUGGAUAACCAAAAAUAAUAACAAUAAAACACUUCAAAUCCUA